GGGAACUGCUGCUUCAAUAACUGUGAUUCCUCUGUGAAACAGUGUAUGACCUUGGCACCACGAAUUGUCACUGAGUUGUAGUCAAAAUUCCUGAAUUUACUCCUGUGUGGGGAAGGAGCGAUUAGAGCUCACAUUAUUUGCAGAAUGAGCCUUGUUUCUUCAGAUGAACUCAUUCGCCUGGGAGUUCUUCAUGUUUGGAAAUUUUCAACAUAAACUCAAGUGGAAGGAUACAUAGGAAAGCAACAGCAAAUGAAGGAGCCAUAGACCCCAUGUCUGAUGAUUGUAAGUGGUAAGAUAUCCCAAUCCUUUGCUGUCUUUUGGAUGUGGGACAAAGGGUCAAAAUACACCUGGCCUGGACCUGGGCUCUCUGCUCAUGCCCUGGAACUGGCAGAGGGACAUG